rnacentral:siRNA from 1 species
GACCAACCUGUCAAGACUACGUGC